rfam:Otolemur garnettii contig077300, whole genome shotgun sequence.
GUACUCACUUUGGUAGCACACAUUAUAAAACUGGAAGGUUCCAGAGAAGACUAGCCUGGCCCCCGCCCAAGCAUGACAUGCAGAUUCAGGAAGGAUUCCAUAUUUCA